rnacentral:tRNA from 2 species
UGGCCCGUGGCCUAGUGGAUAGGGCGGCGGCCUCCUAAGCCGUAGGUCGUGGGUUCGAAUCCCACCGGGCCCG